UGGUCAUGUGUGAGUGUCAGCCUACUGGCAUGCCAAAUAAAUAGCUGGUGGCUUGUGUUUGGCUUGUUCACCCAUAAGUUGUGCAGGCUUCCUAUUAUAUCUAGGGACUAACUUGUUUUUACAUAGCCUGCACAACUUGUGACCCACCAAGCCAGAUCCAGCCUAUACCCCUGAAUAUUGUGGUAUGUCAGAUCCUUGAAAAUUCUCUUUGUUUUUGCAGCCUUGUACAGAUAGUAAAUACAGGAGAAUUAUUUAUUCGAUUUAUAUAUCACCCUUUAGCCAAAUAUCCCAGGGUGGUGCACAACAUUAGGAACAUAAUUUAUGCAGCAUAAUUUUUUAAAAAUACAGAGCAUAAUAAUACACAGCAUAAUUUUAAAAAUUAUCAUAAUAACAGCCCCCCUCCCAACAUUGAACAGGCCAUAGCUUAUUUAAUGGCAAAGGCCUGAGUAAAGAGGAAUGUUUUCGCCUGGUGCCAGAAGACAUGUAAUGAAGUUGCCAGGCAAGCCUCUCUGGAGAGAGCACUCCACAGACGGGGAACCAUCACAGAAAAAUCUGGCCCUCGUUUUGUCACCCUCCAAACCUCUUGGGGAAGGGGGACAUAGAGAAGGGCCUCAAAUGACAAGCACGGGGUCCAGGUCAGUUUGUAUGGGAAGAGGCAGUCCUUAAAGUAUUGAGGUCUUCAACCAUGUAAGACUGCAAAGGUCAGCACCAGCACUUUGAAUUGGGCUUGGAAACUAAUUGGCACAUGGUGUAGUUGGGCCAGGAUCGAUGUUAUAUGCUCAAACCGUCUUGGUCCGUUUAUUGGCUCUCAUCCAGUCCAUUACCGAGGCAAGACACCGGUCCAGCACAUCCACAGCUAUGCCUGCAGAUGUAAAGGAGAAUAGAGCUGUGUGUCAUCAGCAUACUGCUGACAACACACCCCAAAACUUUAUCAACCACUUGGUUGACUGUCUACACAGCUGUUGACCUGCAUUCGAUUUAAUGGGUUGCAAACUGUUGUGUGACUUUGGCAUAGCUGUUGAAACUGUUGAUAUCCAUGAAACUAUUCAUAAAACUACUCCUAGCUGUAGGCUUACAAAAGCCUUUUCUGUUUAAAAAUCACAAGUUCUUUUCUUUCCACCACCCUCGCAAAUGUCUACAUGGAUGAUGCAAUAUCUUGCAAAAGUACCUUGAUGCCUUACUCUGAUAUGGUAGGGCUUCAAGAAAGUGAUAUUUUGUCAGCUAGACAAAACUUCGGGCUUAGACAUGGGAACCCAGGUUCAAAUACCAUUUGAACCCUGGAUUUUGUGGACUGGUUCACAUGUCACGGCAGCUUAUGGUUUAUGACUUACAGUGAAUGAGCAGCAUACUGGAACGGACCUUGGCUUCCGUUUGUGGUUUGUUUGGAGAGAAACAGACCAGUAUGUGACCGUUUAUUAUCUCCCAAGGCUGCUUCACAGUAUCUAGUCUUCUCUUUGCCAUAAUGAGUAAAACACUUUUGCUAGUGCCAUCCAACAUGGCAUUGAUACAGGCCCCGUUCCAGUGAGCAGAUUUGAAGAGGGCAUGUGUGCAUCAUUAGUAUUUCAACUUUUUGCAUGUUUUAAACUAUUGUUGCAUUUUUUUAUUGAUUUGUUUUAUCCUUUUGUAAACUGCUUUGUGGUGUGUUGUUGUUUUUACAAUCAAGCAGUGUAUACAUUUUAUUAAAUAAAUGAAUAAAACCAAUAAGAUCACCUUGCAUCCUAGGGCAAUUGCCAGAGCCCCAGCUUCUGAGCAAGCCCACUUACGUUUGUUUGUUUUUCCACUCCAAGCAGCAACAUCAAAGAAGAUAAGGGCAAACUUCCUCUUAACUGCACGGCUCUUUUGAAAGGCACUUGUGUGAGUCCUGCCUAUUUUUUGCAGUAAAACUAUGAUUAUUUCCCCUUUUCUUUGUGCAGAGAAUGGCUUUCUUGAAUUCGUUGCAGACGUAAAACCAUGAUAGCUGCUCACGGAAAUAAGGGAGGUUUUUUGUCUUCGAAAAGCUUUGACUUCAUUUUCUUUUUAAAAUUUCGUUUCAUACUUGGUGAUGUGUUUUCUUGCCAUUGUCUUGGGAGAAAUGCUUUUCAAAAUGAAAAAGUGUGCACAAAAUUUGGCAAUUGCAGCAAGUAGCUGCAUGGCAGGAUUGGUUCAGCACCUUGAAAAACCUCAAUUUCACUUCCAGUCAAUAUUGUCACCACACAAAAAGUGCUUAAUGCGGUUAGAAGCGGCAAGGUAUAAUGAGGUGGCAAAUCAAAUGAGAAAGGUGUCUUGCCAGCAGUACCUUCGCUUCCUUUUCUUGUUUAUACUGAUGGAUAUCAUGUUGCGAAAGAUUCUUGGGAGGAAGUUUUCGGGCUAUUCUGAGAAAGCAUUUCAAAACAUAAACCACAUGUUGUGUCUCUGCCUUGGUAACUUGUAUAAGCACAUACAGAUGUGCGUUGACCUUAAUCUAUUAGUUUUCUCAAAAAGUUUGCUUAGAGGAAGGUAUAGAAAUUUCAUCAGCUUUGCAAUUGAAACACUGGUUUGUUUUUAUCCGAGUGGGAAAUAUAUAUACAAAUAACUUUUCCAAAAGUGUGCUGUUUGGCUUGGAGUUUGUACUGCAGGUUAUUCUUAAAUGUAUUUCAAGAUAAUAGGUUGACUCCAAAGAGUGAGGACUUGCAUUUUUUUCUUUCUUCCUAAACACGAUUCCAUGUCUCAAAAUACUUAGAAAAAAGUCAAACUAAACAAUAGGUUCCACUGAGGUCACAGACCUAGUUGUGCAGAUAUUGUGAAAUCGUAUUUCACAAUAUGUGAGUUCUGCCUACUCACUUUUAUAAAUCCCAAAUGUAGUGUUAUGUAUAACACAGCUAAAGCUAGAACUAAUAUGUGUUUACACAUUGUUCUUUAGGGCUCAGAAAAAGACUGAAAAGACCUGUAGGAUGCAGUACAAGGGGCCUGUAUGGAAUUCUGCCACUAUCUCUGCCAUUGUCAGUGUCAGGGACCAACAGUAGCACAAUUGGCUCUUUUGCUGCUGACACUAAUAUCAUGUCUGGUCAUGGAAGAUAUGAGAACCAUAGGUUUUUUAGAAGAGAAGCGGGAGAGAUGGUGUUCCUGUGCUGGUUUCUCAUCUCCUGUAUGAGAGAACUUGAUUCAGGGGAUAACAUACCAGUAAUUACUAGGGCUAUGACAUUUUCAACUAGAUGGCAGAUUUUUUUAAAAAAUGCUUUAUUUUUAUACAAAUAAAAGCUGCAUGUGGCAAGGGCACACUUAGAACAGGCAUUCCCUCCAGUAUAAAAGCGAAGGGAAGAUCCCUCUUCUAAGAAUAUAUCUGCAGCACCUAAAGAUUUAGGUACACCCAAUGAAAUCAAUCAGAUUUUAUAAAGGUAAAGGUAAAGGCACUGCUGACCAUUAGGUCCAGUCGUGGCCGACUCUGGGGUUGCGGCACUCAUCU